rnacentral:lncRNA from 1 species
GGGGUAGGACGAUCAAUUGCGCUUACUUCUGUUUAUAAUGCGAUAUUAAUUACUAGGGGAGGCUAGGGAUAGCAAGCCGGUAAUUGAUAUUAGGCCCUUUUCGCCGAGGGAUCGGGUUAAGGGGAGGCUAAGAAAGUUGCAUAACAAUUGAAUCAAUCUAAUAAUCAAGAGUAGUAUGUAAGAGAGAGUGGAAUAGAUGAAAUUGUUAGUACCCAACAACAUUCAUCCAUCCAUUGUUUUCACUUGUCAAUUGAAUCAACAUUUAUUUUGCAUGUUAAUAUUUUUAUCCUCAAAUCCAAUUUAUUAAAUUUUAUUUUUCAAGUCUUAUUAUUUUAAUUCACGCGAAAGAGAAAGUCAUAUGAGUCUCUUGGAAAAAACGAUACUUGGUCUUACCAUUUAUAUUACUUGUACGAUUUGGUACACUUGCCAAUCCGUCAACAAUAGCAAACCAGUAGUUAAUAUUAGGCCCUUUUCGUCGAGGGAUCGGGUUAAGGGGAGGCUUAGAAAGUCGCAUAACAAUUAAUCAAUCUAAUAGUCAAGGGUAGUAUGUAAGACAGAGUGGAAUAGAUGAAAUGGUUAGUACCCAACAACAUCCAUCCAUCCAUUGUUUUCGUUUGUCAAUUGAAUCAACUUUAUUUUUGCAUGUUAAUAUUUUUAUCCUCAAAUCCAAUUAAUUAAAUUUUAUUUUUCAAGUCUUAUUAUUUUAAUUCACGCGAAAGAGAAAGCCAUACGAGUCUCUUGGGAAAAACGAUACUUGGUCUUACCAUUUAU